CUUGGACAAAACAUUUAUUUAGGAUAUUUCAGUAAGAAGCCAAUAUGGGUCUUUCAGCUUAUGUAAAUAUCUCUCUUAUCUGCUGACAAAGAAUGAAACAAAGACCAUCUGAGGCAAAAGAAACACAAGUAAAAACCACUGAAGCUGGUUACUAACUUGUCAGGCAAGGGAGCACAACCAGUGUUUCCCCUUGUAGGGGGAAGUCAGGGUUGUUUAAGGGCUAGAAAGGAGACACUGGUGAUGGUUAUGCUAAGCACUGAAAACUAGUGCUCCAGAUAGAAAGGAACUGGUUAAAACAAUCCUCACUCUUCACAGGGGUUAGAAAACAGUCUUCUGUUUGGUCCAAUGUGGGUCUGGUAUCUGGGGUCCUUCACAGUGCAAGGUUCUUAAACAUCUGCAGUUGGUUAGAACUGUCGUAGUGAAAACAAGCAUUCCUUUUUGAUACCUCAUAGGCAAGUGCUGUUAAGUAGAACAUUUCCUUUUACACUGCAUGACACUUAACGCAAAUAUUUCCACACUGGGUCGGACCAAGGGUUCACAGUGAUAGAGUCACACAAGUACAGUGACAGCCCCUCACUCCAGACAUUGAUAAGAGCACGUUAAAUAUCACUAUGGUUUUGUGAGCCGGAGAAAUGUCACUCUCACUACACUACAUUCUGUCUUCUUUCCAUCCUUGUUCCAUUCACCCUCUGUAGGUGACCAGUCUCUUUCAUUUCUGGUUUAUCCUUACUGCAUUUCUUUUGCACAAAUGUGCAGAUACAUGUACACUUUCUCAUGUCCUCUUCUUUCUUCUAUGAAGAGCUGUUUACUGUAGACACUCUUGGGCUUUGCUUACUUCACUGAACACUAUGUCCUGGAAUUCACUCCAUAUUCAUUCAUACAGCUCUUCCUCAAUUCUUUUUUAUAACUGCACACUGCUUCAUCUUAUUGAUGUGCCAUGAUUUAUUCAACCACUAAAUACUGGACGUUUAGGUGUUUCCAAUAUUUUGCAAUGAGAAACAAUGCUGCAAUGAAUAACCUUGUGCAUAUGUGUUUUAUUAUCAUCAGAAGUGCGUUUUCGGAGUGGAUCCCUAGAAGUGGGAUUGCUGGGUCAAAAGAGGUAAACAGAGGUUUACGACUUUAAUAACCGUGUGUACACUGAUGACUCUUGAGUCUACAUCUUCAGCAUGAACUAUCUAAGGUGUGAGACAAAGGACAGAACUCAAAGACAUCCUUCUGCUCACCUGACACAAAAGCAUAUCUGAUUGCUUCCUCUGCUCUACUGUUUAUGUUAUCUGGCUUGUCACUGAGCCAGAUGAAGGCAAAAGUGACUAUUUACCGCAGCCCCCUGCCCCCACCAAUUGUAUAUUCAGUGAAAGGCUGAUCAAAGACUCAAAAGGAUGCAACUAUUUGUCUCUUAUCUACCUGCACCUUUUAAAAAUGUAUUCCUCUUCCCCCCAUAUCCACCCUUUUCCCUUUAAAUAUCGAAGCCCUCAAAAUCAUCUUUGGAGAAAGGCAUAUACGUAUCUCCCAGGCACAUUUCCUCAACUUUGGCAAAUAAAUCUCCUAAAAUGAUUGAGACUUGCCGUGGUCAUUUUCACUGAUUUACAUGCACUAUAAUAUCUACAGUGCCUGGAACAAUGCCUCGCACAUACAUUGUAGGUGGUCAACAAAUACGUGUUGAAUGAAUGAAUGAAACAAUAUUUUUAACUUUACUAUAUGAAUGUAUUAUUAAUGUGUUUUAAAAUGUACAAAAAUGGGCCCCCACACUUUCAUGGGUUUUCCCUCCAGGAACCCACCAGGUUCUCACAGUGAAAAACCAAGAAAAAUCACCCCCCCAAUCUCUGGUAGGGGGAGAUAAAAAGUAACCAUUUUGAAAUAUGUCCAGAGCAUUCUCCAUAACAAAGACCUACUCUCUAAGAGAAAAGACUUUACCAGAACCUUAUCUCACCUACGGAAAAGAGGAGUUACUCAAUUCCAGCCCAACUCUAUCCUUCCCAUAUGGCCUAAGGGGAGGGAGAGACAAGAAACACUUGUGAAGGUCACAGCCCCAGGACAUAGGCCCAUGAGGUUUAAUCAUAAGAUUACAGAACAAUUUCUCUCCCCCAACUCCUCAUCCCACAUCAACAGGGCUCAAAUAGCUGCAAGGCAUACUCUAUUUAAGACUAUUUAAGAAAAAGCUCUUUGAGCCAGGAGCCAUGGUUCCUGCCUAUAAUCCCAGCAUUUUGGGAGGCUAAGGCAGGAGGAUCACCAGGUCAGGAGAUUGAGACCACCAUGGCCAACAUGGUGAAACCCCACCUCUACUAAAAAUACAAAAAUUAGCUGGCUGUGGUGGUGCACACCUGUAGUCCCAGCUACUUCGGAGGCUGAGACAGGAGAAUUGCUUGAACCUGGGAGGCAGAGGUUGCAGUGAGCUGAGAUUGCACCACUGCACUCCAGCCUGGUGACAGUGCGAGACUCCAUCUCAAAAAAAAAAAAAAAAAAAAAAGAAUAGAAAAAGAAAAAGUUCUUCGGAAAACCAAAGGUAGUAGGAGAGAAAAACAAGAACAUGAAAGGAAUUUAUAGCCUCUGGAACCUAUAGCUACAAUAUUUAAAACAUUAAACACAGCCCAACUCCUAGGAACAUUAAUAUAAAACCCCACACCAAAGGCCUAGUUACCUCAGUUCCUAUUAUCUGAUACAACAUGUCUGGAUUUCAACAAAGAAUUACAAGGCAUACUAACAAGCUAGAAAAAAAACAUAGUUUGAAGAGACAAAGUGAGCACUGGAACCAGACUCAGGUGUGAAACACAUUAUGAAAUCACAAAAUAUUUAAAAUAAUUGUGAUUAAUAACUUAUAAACUCUCAUGGAAAACGUAGACAAUAUGCAAGAACAGAUGGAUAAUAAAAAGCAGAGAGAUGGAAACUCUAAGAAAGAAUAAAAAAGAAAUGCUCAAAUUAAAAAACACUGUGAUGGAAAUGAAGAAGGCCUUUGGUAGACUCAUCAGUAAACUGAAAACAGUCAAGGAGAGUUUUGAUAGACUCAUCAGUAGGCUGAACACAGCCAAGGAAAGUAUCAGUGAACUUGAAGAUAUAUCAAUUUGAAACUUCCCAAACUGAAAUGCAAAGAGAAAAAAAGAAUGAAAAAAAAAAAAAACCAGAACACUCAAAAAUUGUGGUACAAUUUCAAAAGAUAUAUCUGUGUAAUUGGAAUACAAAAGAGAAGAAAGAGAAAAUGGAGCAGAAGAGAUAUUUUUUAAAUGAUGUCUGAAAAAUGUCCAAAGUUAAUGAGAGACAUCAAACCACAGAUCCAGGAGCCUCAGAGAAUACCAAGCAGUAUUACAAACAAACAAACCCCUCUAUAUUUAGGCAUGUUAUAUUCAAACUGAAGGAGACCAAACAUAAAGAGACACUCUUAAAAGAAGCUAGAAAAAAUAAUCCCACACUACCUAUAGAAGAACAAGGAUGAGAAUUAUGUGGACUUCUCUUCAGAAACCAUGUUAACAAGAAGAGAAUGAAGUGAAAUAUUUAAAGCACUGAAACAAAGUAGCUGCCAACCUAUAUUUCCAUAUCUCAUAAUUUCAAUCCUUCAAAUGUGAAGGAGAAAUAAACAUUUUCUACAAAAAACCAAAAACAGAAUUCAUCACCAGUAAUGCUGCCCUGUAAGAAAUACUAAAAUAAGUUCCUUGGAAGAAGAGCAUCAGAGAAGGAAUAAAUAAAGAUAUAAUAAAACAUUUUAUUUUAAAUUGAUCUAAUAGAUAACUGUUUGUUCAAAGCAAUAACAGUAACAAUGUAUUGGGUGAUGAUAGCAUUCACAUAAGUGACAUGAAUGAGAGCAAUAGUAUAAGAAAUGAAAAGACAGAAGAAGGAAGAUUUUAUUAUAAGGUGCCUGCACUAUACAUGAAGUGGCAUAAUAUUUUUUGAACAUGGAUAUAUAUAUAUAUAUAUAUAUAUAUAUUUGUAAUUGUAUAUAAUAAUUGUAAAUGUAUGUUGCAAACUUAGGGCAAAGAAUAAAAAUAUUUUUAAAGAAACUUAAAAAAGGCAAAAAAAGAGGCAAAGAAACAAAGAAUGAGUGCAAUGAAUAGAAAACAUGGUAGCUAUCAAUCAAACUAUAUCAAUAAUCAUGUUAAAUGUAACUGGUCUAAAUGUAUCAGUUAAAAGAUUAUGGGAGUGGAUUAAAAAACUAGAUCCAACUAUAUGUUGUUUACAAGAAACCAACUUUAAAUAUAAAGGCACAGUUAAGUUGUAAGUAAAAGGAUAGAGAAAGAUAUACCAUGCUAACAGUAAUUAAAAGAAAGUUGAAGAAACUCUAUUAAUUUCAUACAAAGCAGAAUUCAGAGCAAGGAAAAUUAUCAGGGAUAAAAAGGAACACUUUUCUUUGAAAAUAUAACAAUCCCUAACAUAUGUGCACCAAACAACACAGCAUCAAAAUACGUGACGCAAAAAAAGACCUACAAGGAGAAACAGGAAAAUCCACUCUUAUAAUUGGAGAUUUCAACAUUUCUCCUUCAGUAAUUGCUACAUUGAGCAG
rnacentral:lncRNA from 10 species